UCCCUCUCAGCGUUGGCUCGGUUUUUUCCCUUUUAGCCUUCUUUGUACCCUGCAGAAUUCGGUGCUUGAAGGCUAAAGGGGGAAAAACCGAGCUAACGCUCGGCGGGA